ACUGAACUGACCUUCAUAUCUCAGCGAUGAGUCCUGUAGACUGCAGGCUCCACGGCAGUUGCAGCUCCCAGGGCUUCAGAUUGGAGCUGCCUGUGACAUGCAGAGGUGGAAGCACAGCCUCAGCUGUGGUGGACGGCAGCCUCUUUCAGCCCCCAGUGUCUCUCAUGGAAACCCAAGGUGGGAGAAAGAAGCAGAAGGAGAUCCUGGAACCAAAAACACUUCAGCAAUGAAGACUGGAUUUUCUCUGAAAUGAACAACAAAAUAAAAUCUCUCCUGUAGAUCUCUA
rnacentral:lncRNA from 1 species